CUGACAGAUGGCAAAGAGAUGAGGUUAUUUUUUUUCAGGUAAAAAAACUGUGGGUUUAUCCCCUCCCUCUCUCCCCUCCUCUCCCUCCCUCCCACGCAUCUCACCCGCCGCCGCCCAAGCACCCCGCCGCCCCGCCGACGCCGACGCCGGUCCCCGCCGACUGCUUCCGCCCGACUUCGAUUCGGUACUGCCUUCUCCUCCUCCUCAUAUCCCCUCCGCUCUCGGUGUUGCACCUACCACUUUUAGCGCGGCUCUAUUGGCCUCAUGUUUCUCUCUUCUCUAGCGAUUGGAUUGUCAAGGCCGCUCGCCGCCGCCGGAGGAGGUCGGGGAAAGGAAGCCACCAGCUAGCCGUCCACGCCAGGCGCGACGGGGUUCCCGCUCCGCUGGUUGGACCCGGAAGAGCACGUACGUACGAGAUCGACCGGCUCACAGAGCGCGGCCAGAGCAGCUUCUGUUCCCACCAACGCCGUACCCCGCGGCAGAAUAGUGCGCGACGCCUUCGCCCUGUGCUCGUGGCGACACCGGGCGAGCAGCCGAGCGCGCGCCCCUGGCCCGGCCCCGCGGCAAGGCAACACCGCGGUUGGUUUAUUCCUCGUGGUCUCUUGCCAUAAUGCUCCCUCCGCCUGGUCCACGUCCACUGGUUGCUGCUCAUCAUCCCGGUGCAUGACAGGUAUGAUCUCAGAACGUCAGAUCAGGUGUCUGGUGGUCUGCUGUUAUACUAGUACUAGUACCUUUGAUGAACCAAUACUAACCUGGUCCCGAGCUCCGAGGGGAUGGAACGAUGCCAGCAACAAAUAACGAACGUGUGCCUAGCAGUUUACCAAGUAUCACUAGCAUGUAUGGUGCUCGCAGGCAUGACAGCAAUGGGGGUUAUCUAUACUUUUUUCAUAAUAAUUCAUCUUGCUGUAUUAAUUUCCUACUGUAUAGUUUAUUGAAGCGAGUUUCGUGUUUCUGGUCAGUUUAGUUGAUCCGAGUAUAUCCCCCUUGGACCCAAACGCAGCUGAUUAGCAACGCCUAAAGCCUCUUUUUUAUUCCUUGGAAUCAAUAGGCCAUUGACACGACACCUUGAGAGCUCACGGCUUCCUUCUUUAUCCGUCGGAUGGACUUGGAAAGCGGCGUGUAGCAGUUGCAUUAUUCCACUUGAUUACUGGCCACCCUUUCCGUGUUAUUUUCACUGUAGCCUUUCAUGCUAGCUGAUUCCAAAUCACAUGCUCCCAACCUAUCAGUUUACUUUUGAGAUUUUCCCCGUAUGUAUAUUCCAAUUCUACAUGGAGUCUGCAUCUUCCAACACAUGGCCCGACACUGAUUAGGAGAAGCUCCCUAUUGUAUUCUAUAUUGGGAGUCAUUAACGUGUCAUGUAAUUUGCUAGUACUUAGUUGCUACCUUGGCAUCCCUCUGAAAAUAAAUAGAUGGUAUAGAUGACACUUAUUUUACUUAGAAGCACUCUCUACAGAUAGUAUUUCGUGUAGAAAGAACUCACAGACAUGAUCUAUAUUGACAACUUUAGUUUGGACAGAGAUGAAGUAAUCAAUUUUGGACAUGUGGAUGGCAUUCAAAUAUAUCGGUUGCCAAACUGAAUCAAGAAGACCACAACACAUAAAAAUUGCAAACUAUGGCAAGCAGUUUGUAAUAUCUGCUUAUUUGGAUGAACAAACCGGUGUGUCCACAAUGCAAAAUAAUAUCCCUGCAAGUCAUCACAAACAAAUAUCAUGUAAGUAAAACAAGUCUGCGUUGUAAUGCUAUGAAUCCUGGAAACAUCAGAAGGACACUCUUAGAUUUCGUAAAAGGGACUUUUGAAAAACAAUGAAAGAAAGUUAGCAAGUUCUCUUAUCUGCAAGUAUAAACAUGACAAAGGCAUACACUAAUUAGAGAACGUAAUUGAUUCAGUCUUUCAACUAUAUUUUUCGCCGAGGAGUCAAGGGUCGAGGGGUUGAGUGGUCGAGGGAUAAGAUUUUCUCUUCAGAUAAGAAAUACUGUACUGGAGUUCAGAAAUCAUAUCUCUUCAGAUAAGAUUUUCAACGGACUCUUGAAUAGAUGCGAUCUUUGCUUGAGCAGCCAUUAAUUAUACUACUAGAUCUUGCUUGUCGUUUCGCCGCCACAGUAUCUGUACAAGGACUGCUUAAAAUGUCUGUAAACAAAGAUAUCUUGUAUUUAUGCUGCUAUAACUGAUGGUCACCAGUUUGCUCUGGUGGAUUCUUCUAUGCUUGCACUGUUAACUAUCUUUAGAAAAAUCUCAUGUAUAUGUAGAUUCUCAUGGUACGAAAUUUCUGAUUAUAGUUGUGCCUGUCAAUUUGUAUUCACACUAAAUGUAUCCUCUUGAAUUUGUUGAUACUGUUUCAUUUGCAUGCAACUAGCUACUGUCGGGCACAACACUAACAACGCCGAGUAUUUAGACCCUAAUUUGUAUCUUUCUUUUACUAUUUACAUAGCAUUCUGAAGUUGUUAUCGCUGAUGGAAAAUGAAACUCUACGCAGGUGAUGCUCCUGGGUGACUCCAGUCUGAGAAAGAGGGAAAUGCAGGUCACGCUAGCUUGCAACCAUUUUUGGGAUGGAUUCAUCGAUAGAAUGCCGAGGUAAAUGCGGUAACUAAACUGCUACUAAAAAAGAAACACAAGAUGCUGGAGUUUUACACAAUUUACAGUAUUGCAUGUUUCUCUAUGUCCAACAUUUCACUGUAUGUAGCACUGAAUGUAGGGCCUGUUUGGGUACAAUGGCUAUGCAAGCAGUGACAGUGGAUUGGGUUGUUAAUUCUUCGGGUUUAGGAUUUAUUCUGACUCUAUUAGGAUUUCAGUUAUAUUUGUUCCAAUGUGGGUUAAAACUCCUUAUUAUUUCAGUAAAGUGCAUGCCCUUGGUUUUCCCCAUUGACCUUUGUUGCUCUGAAUUUGGCCACCUGGGUAGUGUAGCAGUACUUGUUACAUGCAGAGUGUUAGAAAUCAGCACUAAUUCUGAAUUUUUUUCCAUCAUUGCUGCUUAGCACUCACAUUUCUUCGCUGAAGGAUAGAAUAUGGAGUAAUAGAAGCUUUGGGAAAGGGCUGGAGCUCUAGGGCUUAUGGUGGUUCUGCCUAGAAAUUGUUACAAACAAUCUUGUCCCAGAAUUUAAACAUAACUAAAUCUAGGCUCUUCUCAAAAGGCUCUCACUGUUGAUAUAUAUUGACAUUGUAGUUAACCUGUAUCCUGCUUUGAGUAGUACACCUUGUAUUGUUAGUAUAUAUAAUCACUCAAUGGUUUUGAAUUAAGUUAUGCAUUUUUUCUAUUACACUCUAGCCAAAUCUGAUAAAAGAGAACGCUACAAUAGCCAUAUCGAAUAACUCUGACAAGGUGUAAUGCAAGUUCCUUCCUGGAAGAUGUUCUUUUGAGAUUGAUGUCUGGCAGGCAUUAUCUGUCUCUGCAUGUUGCAGACUCCAAUGUAUAUCUUGAGAAAGAAAUUUGCUUGAGUAACAAAGAAGUUUCCCAUAUGGCCAUAUGAUGUUUAUGGAUUACUUCUAGCAAGCAAUCAGAGCUUGGAACCACAUGCUUAUUCAUUGUUAUUGUUGGCCUAAAACUUAAUAUAUAACUGCUACUCUGCUUCUGCACUUUUGAAAGCUUAGAUUUGUUAAUAUGAUUCAGUUUCUUAAAUUAAAGCUGAUUGUGGACAUCUUUAGUGUCUCUGCCUUAUUAGGAGUGUCAUUUGAUGAUAACGUACUUGCAUUGAAGUUUUUUCGAUGGUAACACCUUCGUCAUAUUCCGAAGUUUUAUAUUAUUAUUCUUAAGAUAUUUGCAAGCCUGUCAAACUGUUUUCUCAAAAUUCCUGCCAUCUUGCAGUGAUAAUCCUCAAGCUGAUAAGGAUUCAAAUUAGUUUUCCUUUUUUGCUGGCUAGUACAGUAACUUUGUGCAUGUAACAUGAUUAUACCACUUUCUGCUGUACAAGAUAAGUACACGUCUGUGGCUUCCUCCAGUUCCCCACCUUCGGGCUUAAAGCCUGGAAGCAAAUGUAACUUCCAUAUGACUUUUUUUUCUUGCUGAACAAUUUGUAAGUCUAACUGGUUAAAAAUGCACAGGCUUGGAAAUAUUCACGAAUGUAGGUUCUUGUAGGUGUCCAUGCUUAGAAAGAUUUGUCAGUUUCAAUUUUCUACUUCGUUGUAUACUUGUCUAAUACCCUGCAAAUAUACAACCUACUGUCUCUUAGAUAACAAAAAGAAAUGUGAGAGUUGAUAGCAAAUAUUAUGCUUUCGAUUUUCUUUGCUUGAUUAUGUUGGCAUGAUUGGAUGAUUUGUUUCUUAAUAGGGUCAUGUAGCAUCAUGCAGUAGCUCUGAUGACUUAUUAGCAUGUAUUGUUAGUUUCAAUGCUAUGUAGCAUCAUGGAAUGGUUCCAAUAACUUGUUAGCAUGUUUUGUUAGUUCCAGAGAAAAAGCAAAAUCCCAGCUCAUGAUGUAAUUGUUCAAUUUUGUUCAUAGUCGAGCAUUGGAUGAUAUUGUAUUUGUCAUGAUGUACAUGGUUCAUGAACUAUGCCAACCUGCAGCUUUGUUGUACUAGUGAUAGUAGGAUAAUGCAAGUUUUGACAAUCCAUGCAUAUUUCCGCAUCAUAAUAAUCUUCUUCUUCUAGUCUUCUUCUUCUAACUUUCUUCUUUCCCAUUUUACAGAUUUGCUUAAGAUCACGGAAGCUUGGGUUGAUGGAGUGCUUGUAUUUAGUUUUUGUUUUGACCUUGUGAAACUUGCUACCUAUGGAUGAAACUGUGUAAUAUUGAUGAAACUAUGUAUAUGUAUGGAUGAAACUUGCUACUAUUGGUAACAUGUGUUGGAUAUAUGUGUGUUCAUGACUAUUGGUAAUAUGUGUUGAAUAUGCUAUAUUGGUCAUAUAAAUAUAUUUGUGCUUGAUUUUCUGUGAAAAGGAACUGAUAUGCGAAAAAUCAAAAUUAAAUGGGGCAAUAUAGUCACUAAUUAAAUGGGGC
rnacentral:lncRNA from 1 species